UUUCAUUUCUGAGAUUGCACACAAUGAAGUUAAUGGGCUUGGUGGAAUGGGAGGAGUGGAAGUGGGAGGAGCAAGUGCAAGCCUUUCCUGCCCUGACUGAACUUAUUCUGUUUGAAUGCAAUUUGAAGCGUCUUCCUCCUGGCCUUGCCUCCCAGGCAAGGGCUUUGAAGGUAUUAUCCGUACAGCAGGUCAAGGGUCUCAUCUCUCUAGAGAACAUUGCUUCCCUGAUCGAGCUGCAAGUAAUUGAAAACUUCCACUUGGAGAGAAUCACUAAUCUCCCCAGACUGCAGAAGCUUACCAUCACCCGCUGCCCAAAGUUGAAGGUGCUGGAGGGUGUUCCUGCACUACAGAGGCUCAUGCUCGAGGACGACUACAUGGAGACACUCCCAGAAAGUAUAAACCCAAGACGUUUGGAGCUCUACUGCAGCCUGGCGCUGCUUGCUUCCAUGACAGUGGCACAAUCUGGACUUGAGUGGGACAAGUUCAGCCAUAUUGAGCAUGUCAAGGCAUAUGCACAUGAAGGAGAUAAUCCAAGGAAAUGGUAUGCAUUGUACACAACUAAUCCCUACAACUUGGAGACAAAUGUCAGCAGCUCUGCUUUGAUGUAUAGAGGAACCUUAUUUUCUUUGGAGGAUGCGCAAACAUUUGAGUCUGCCUUCAAAAUGACAAGAAGAACCUUUAGGUAUAUCUGCAGCUUGGUGAGUCUGGAAUUGAAUUAUAUGACAUGCUACACCUUUGCUGAUGGGAGGGAGCUGUCUUUACAAGAUCUAGUAGCCAUUGUUCUCAGAAGGUUGUACUCUAGUGAGCCACCGGAGACGAUAGGAUCCACUGUUGGUGUGAACGAGUCAACCGUCUUGUUGGUAACUGAGAGCUUUGUUGCUGUGUUGUGCGAUCGAGCAAAGCAUCACUUGCUUUGGCCAGACUCCAGUGAAAAGGAUAAAAUCAAAUCCAUGUUUGACAAGAUCCACAAUAUGAAUAACUGCUGCUGUGUUAUAUGUACAACUCGCAUCCCAUUUGGACCAACCCGCGACAGUGAGAAUAAUUGCAGUGUUAUAAUGCAAGUCAUCGUUGAUCCAGAGAUAAGGUUCACAAACAUUUGGUUGACAUUGACAGGUAGCAUGAACCUCUCUAGCAUUUGGCCAGAAUGUCAUCCGAAUCAGGAGAUCCACAGAAGGACCAUGAGGUAGGUGCAUCAGGCUUAGGGGAUCAUUAACUGAUUUUUUUUUCUUUCUGCCAGCUUCAUUCUAGGUGGAAGGGAAGCCGACAUCCUGCUGGUUGGAGCUUUUGAAUGCAUGAAAUAGCCGGUGUCGCAAUGGAGCCAAAGAUUACAUCGAUGCUGCAAACAUGAACUGAACACAACAUUUUGUAAUUCUUGUCAUCUGUCUGUUUGGCACAGACAAGUUUUGUUAAGCAGUCUGAACUUUGUGUAUCGGCGACAAGCUUUAAAAUGGCAAUGUAGCUGUGGAAUUUACAAAACAUCUAUUGGUG
rnacentral:rRNA from 1 species